rnacentral:rRNA from 1 species
UACGUAGGGUGCAAGCGUUAAUCGGAAUUACUGGGCGUAAAGCGCACGUAGGCGGUUCGUUAUGUCGGAUGUGAAAGCCCUUGGCUUAACCGAGGAAGUGCAUCCGAAACUGGCGAGCUAGAGUACUAAAGAGGAUCGCGGAAUUCCCGGUGUAGAGGUGAAAUUCGUAGAUAUCGGGAGGAACACCGGUGGCGAAGGCGGAUCUCUGGGCCAUUACUGACGCUGAGGAGCGAAAGCGUGGGAGCGAACAGG